rnacentral:rRNA from 1 species
GACGAACGCUGGCGGCGUGCUUAACACAUGCAAGUCGAGCGGAGCGGCGAACGGGUGAGUAACGCGUGUGUAACUGCCCCCCUCUCUGGGAUAACCGUUGGACACGGCUGCUAAUACCGGAUAGUGGGGGAUGACUCGCGUCCUAUCAGCUUGUGGGUGGGGUAGUGGCCUCCCAAGGCGACGACGGGUAGCCGGCCUGAGAGGGCGACCGGCCACAUGGGGCUGAGCUACGGCCCAAACUCCUACGGGGGACAGCAGUGGGGAAGAUGGCACAAUGGGGGAGACCCUGAUGCAGCAACGCGCGUGCGGGAUGGCGGCCUGCGGGUUGUAAACCGCUGUCAGCCAUGACGCGGUAGUGGCAGAAGAAGCACCGGCUAACUACGGGCCAGCAGCCGCGGUAAUAC